rnacentral:lncRNA from 1 species
AGGUCCUUGAUGAUCUACUUCUUGGCCUUCCUGUGACACCAGGUGCUGUAGAUGUCCUGGAGGCCGGCUGCAACCAUGUUUCAGAUCAUUUUGUAUUAUUCUGUACAUAAAUCCGAGACACUCCAUUUAAUAUAUGUUACGAUUCGUUGGUAUGCAUUAAUUAGUGGAUGUCCAUCAUCCAUUUCAUUAGACAUGUUAAGAAUUCACAAAUUGUGAAAUAUGUUACGAUUUGUGCAAAACGUAUGAUAUGUUACGAAUUCCAAUUAGUUGUUGCUAACUUUAGCUAGGUGGCUAAUGCUAACGUUAGCUAGCUGGCUAAAGUUAGCUGGGUUAGGAGUUAGGUUAAAGGGUUAGGGGAAGGGAUAGCUAACAUGCUAAGUAGUUGAAAAAAAGCAAGUAAUUGCAAAGUUGCCCGUGAUGAAAUUCAAACACUCAACCUUUGGGUUGCUAGAUGUUCUCGUUACACACCCACCCUCCUUUUGUUUUUUUCUUCAGUAACCUUCUGUCUUAUGUAACCGUACCAAACAUAAUUUACACUACACGACCAAAAGUAUGUGGAGACCUUCUAGUCAAACACCUCAUUCCAAAAUCAUGGGAAUUAAUAUGGUGUUGGUCCCCCCUUUGCUGCUAUAACAGCCUCUACUUUCUUGGAAGGCUUUCCACUACAUGUUGGAACAUUACGGCGGGGACUUGCUUCCAUUCAGCCACAAGAGCAUUAGUGAGGUCGGGCACUGAUGUUGGGCGAUUAGGCCUCGCUCGCAGUCAGCGUUCCAAUUCAUCUCAAAGGUGUUUGAUGGGGUUGAUGUCAGGGCUCAGUGCAGGACAGUCAAGUUCUUCCACACCGAUCUCGACAAACUAUUUCUAGAUGGACCUUGCUUUGUGCACACUGGAAUUGUCAUCCUGAAACAGGAAAGGGCCUUCCUCUAACUGUUGCCACAAAGUUGGAAGCACAGAAUCGUCUAGAAUGUCAUUGCAUGCUGUAGCGUUAAGAUUUCCCUUCACUGGAACUAAGGGGCCGAGCCCAAACCA